UACAGAGGUCCCGAGCGUUGUUCGGAUUCACUGGGCGUAAAGGGUGCGCAGGUGGCAUGGUAAGUUUGAUGUGAAAGCCCCGGGCUUAACCCGGGAACGGCAUUGAAUACUACUGAGCUUGAGGGUUGGAGGGGGGACUGGAAUUCUUGGUGUAGCAGUGAAAUGCGUAGAUAUCAAGAGGAACACCAGUGGCGAAGGCGAGUCCCUGGACAGUUCCUGACGCUGAGGCACGAAGGUCAGGGGAGCAAACGGG
rnacentral:rRNA from 1 species